UGUCAUCCAUGGAAUUUAAGACACGAUUUUUCACAUCCUAAAGUAGGAAAUCAUACAAAUUGAACCUUUAAAGUGCUUACUGUACUUACCUGGCAAGGAAAGGAAGCUCUUAGCUCAGAUGCAGAUGCCUACAGCAAUGGCAUUAAAAUUUAGUGGUAUGAGUGCUACUCUUCAAGACCAUGAAGACGAUCAAGAUGCCUAGGAAAUCUUGCAGCCAGUGAAAUACCUGAAGAAGAGCUUUGUUCCUUCUCAGGUGUGCUGCAGAAAGUCCUGAAGCAGAUAGAAGGACUGUUCUCAGAGUAAAUUUUCUACAGCUAGAAAAAUUCACCUCCAAGUGGAAGGGGUACUGGCAUUUGUUAACUGCCUGAGAAGUUUAUCAACAAACUUUAUCAUUAAACAAAAAUGAAACAGAGAAGCAAAUUUGGCAUGUAAUUGCAUUACCUAAGAGUGAAUAAAAGUAACUAAAUAUACCAAAA